rnacentral:rRNA from 1 species
GACGAACGCUGGCGGCGUGCCUAAUACAUGCAAGUCGAACGCAGUGGGGACGGGUGAGUAACACGUGGGUAACCUCCCAUCAGAGGGGAUAACACUUGGAAACAGGUGCUAAACCGAUACUGAUGGAUGGACCCGCGGUGCAUUAGCUAGUUGGUGAGGUAACGGCUCACCAAGGCCACGAUGCAUAGCCGACCUGGUAGGGUAAUCGGCAACACGGGGACGAGGACACGGCCCAGGUUCCUACGGGAGGCAGCAGGAGGAAUUUUUCGGCAUGGGACGAAAGUCUGACCGAGCAACGCCGCGUGAGUGAAGAGGGUUUUCGGAUCGAAAAUCUCUGUUGUUAGAGAAGCGGUAUCUAACAAGAAAGCCACGGCUAACUACGUGCAAGACGCCGCGUAAUAC